CAGAUUCAGGUUAUCUAAGAAUUACAUUAUGGAUUCUGUUACCACAGACCAUAAGGGAAUUCUAUGACAGCAUGCACCACGGAAGCCUAUGAGAAGCAUUCCGUAUUGCAUUCCGCCAUAAUAGAAGUCUAGGCCAGCAAUACAGGAUGCUACC